rnacentral:rRNA from 1 species
AUUGAACGCUGGCGGCAGGCCUAACACAUGCAAGUCGAACGAGUGGCGGACGGGUGAGUAAUGUCUGGGACACUGCCCGAUGGAGGGGGAUAACUACUGGAAACGGUAGCUAAUACCGCAUACCAUCGGAUGUGCCCAGAUGGGAUUAGCUAGUCGGUGGGGUAACGGCUCACCUAGGCGACGAUCCCUAGCUGGUCUGAGAGGAUGACCAGCCACACUGGAACUGAGACACGGUCCAGACUACGACGGGAGGCAGCAGUGGGGAAUAUUGCACAAGGGGCGCAAGCCUGAUGCAGCCAUGCCGCGUGUAUGAAGAAGGCCUUCGGGUUGUAAAGUACUUUCAGCGAGGAGGCGUUACUCGCAGAAGAAGCACCGGCUAACUCCGUGCCAGCAGCCGCGGUAAUAC